GAUGAACGCUAGCGACAGGCCUAACACAUGCAAGUCGAGGGGCAGCACAUGAGUAGCAAUACGAUGGUGGCGACCGGCGCACGGGUGAGUAACACGUAUGCAACCUGCCUGUAAGAGGGGAAUAACCCGGAGAAAUUCGGACCAAUACCGCAUAAUACCACGAGACUGCAUGGUUUUGUGGUUAAACAUUUAUGGCUUACAGAUGGGCAUGCGUAUUAUUAGAUAGUUGGUAGGGUAACGGCCUACCAAGUCUACGAUCAUUAGGGGUUCUGAGAGGAAGGUCCCCCACACUGGUACUGAGACACGGACCAGACUCCUACGGGAGGCAGCAGUGAGGAAUAUUGGUCAAUGGGCGAGAGCCUGAACCAGCCAAGUCGCGUGAAGGAAGAAGGUUCUAUGGAUUGUAAACUUCUUUUGCAGGGGAAUAAAGGACGGUACGUGUACUGUUUUGUAUGUACCUUGCGAAUAAGGAUCGGCUAACUCCGUGCCAGCCGCCGCCGUAAAAC
rnacentral:rRNA from 1 species